AUGACGUCCUAUUUUUCUUACAUAUUCCAUCCUCAUACGGUUGUCUUACAUCAAAGUAUUGCUUGUCUGUAUCAUGCAUCAAUGAGUUCUGAAGAGCGAUUUUAUUCUUUUGUGUUGUGGGUACGGCUUGACAUGGCAAAGUCAAAAAAGAGCAAGGAAUAUAAUAUAGUUGGGAGUGGUGUUACUCGUCGGGUGAAACGGAAAAGGAUCCGCCAUCGAGAUUCUACUAGUACUUAUAGUGCAGUAGAAGGCCCAAGUCCACCGGCUAAAUCUACAAACACGACUAGCCAGUUCCCAAGGUGCCUUCACACCUAA
rnacentral:rRNA from 1 species